AGACAGGGAGAAAGAGAGGCACCUGCAGCACUGCUUCACCACUUGUGAAGCUUUCCCCUGCAGGUGGGGACUGGGGGCUUGAACCUGUGUGCCCUCAACCUGGUAUGCCACUGUCCAGCCCCUUUCUUUAUGAAUUUUUCAGAAGUUGAUUUUGGUUUGAAAGUCGGCUAGUCUUUGCCAAAAUAUAGACCUCUCUCCCCCUCCAGUAAACUUAAUUGCUGUCCAAGGUAGCUGAGAAACACUCAGUCCUCAGUAGAGGGAGGAGGUCCCCUGGCACCCACAGGCGGUCUGCACCCCCUGCCACCCUCCCCCCCACAUGCCCCAGAGCCUUCUGGAAAGCUGCCGCUGGGACUGGUUCAGGUUGCUCACACAAUUGCCUCUGGGGCCAGCGUCCCCAGCCUUAAGCCAAUGCACAUUUAUAGCAGUGUCCAUGUGACCCGGGGAGGGCAGCCCGCGGGCAGAGGGCAGAGCUGAAAAGUCCCAGCCUCAGGGUGAGGGGCCAGUUCCACUCGGCCACCCAUCUCUGAAGACACAGGGACUCUUCACACAGGCUUUCAAAGGGACAGCUGCAGUCUGCGUUCCCACUAGCAGUGAAGCAGAGUCCCUUUUCUCCACAGCCUCCCCAACACUUGUCACCUCCUGAUUUGUUGAUGGAAGCCGUCCUCGCAGGUGUGAGCCAGAGUCUCAGUGAAGUUUUGAUGUGCAUUUCUCCAAUGAUUAAUAAAGUGGAGCAUUUCUU